GACGAACGCUGGCGGCGUGCUUAACACAUGCAAGUCGAACGGAAAGGCCCUGCUUUUGUGGGGUGCUCGAGUGGCGAACGGGUGAGUAACACGUGAGUAACCUGCCCUUGACUUUGGGAUAACUUCAGGAAACUGGGGCUAAUACCGGAUAGGAGCUCCUGCUGCAUGGUGGGGGUUGGAAAGUUUCGGCGGUUGGGGAUGGACUCGCGGCUUAUCAGCUUGUUGGUGGGGUAGUGGCUUACCAAGGCUUUGACGGGUAGCCGGCCUGAGAGGGUGACCGGCCACAUUGGGACUGAGAUACGGCCCAGACUCCUACGGGAGGCAGCAGUGGGGAAUAUUGCACGAUGGGCGGAAGCCUGAUGCAGCAACGCCGCGUGCGGGAUGACGGCCUUCGGGUUGUAAACCGCUUUCGCCUGUGACGAAGCGUGAGUGACGGUAAUGGGUAAAGAAGCACCGGCUAACUACGUGCCAGCAGCCGCGGUGAUACGUAGGGUGCGAGCGUUGUCCGGAUUUAUUGGGCGUAAAGGGCUCGUAGGUGGUUGAUCGCGUCGGAAGUGUAAUCUUGGGGCUUAACCCUGAGCGUGCUUUCGAUACGGGUUGACUUGAGGAAGGUAGGGGAGAAUGGAAUUCCUGGUGGAGCGGUGGAAUGCGCAGAUAUCAGGAGGAACACCAGUGGCGAAGGCGGUUCUCUGGGCCUUUCCUGACGCUGAGGAGCGAAAGCGUGGGGAGCGAACAGGCUUAGAUACCCUGGUAGUCCACGCUGUAAACGGUGGGUACUAGGUGUGGGGUCCAUUCCACGGGUUCCGUGCCGUAGCUAACGCUUUAAGUACCCCGCCUGGGGAGUACGGCCGCAAGGCUAAAACUCAAAGGAAUUGACGGGGCCCCGCACAAGCGGCGGAGCAUGCGGAUUAAUUCGAUGCAACGCGUAGAACCUUACCUGGGUUUGACAUGGAUCGGGAGUGCUCAGAGAUGGGUGUGCCUCUUUUGGGGUCGGUUCACAGGUGGUGCAUGGCUGUCGUCAGCUCGUGUCGUGAGAUGUUGGGUUAAGUCCCGCAACGAGCGCAACCCUUGUUCACUGUUGCCAGCACGUUAUGGUGGGGACUCAGUGGAGACCGCCGGGGUCAACUCGGAGGAAGGUGGGGAUGACGUCAAGUCAUCAUGCCCCUUAUGUCCAGGGCUUCACGCAUGCUACAAUGGCUGGUACAGAGAGUGGCGAGCCUGUGAGGGUGAGCGAAUCUCGGAAAGCCGGUCUCAGUUCGGAUUGGGGUCUGCAACUCGACCUCAUGAAGUCGGAGUCGCUAGUAAUCGUAGAUCAGCAACGCUGCGGUGAAUACGUUCCCGGGGCU
rnacentral:rRNA from 1 species